rnacentral:pre_miRNA from 1 species
GUGGGGAGGCCGGAUCCUGGGUUGUGUCCCCGGCGCCCUGUGCCCCCCGGUCUGCGCUGUUGGAUUCGCGCUCCCGCCCCGCAGCCCCCU